GACGAACGCUGGCGGCGUGCCUAAUACAUGCCAGUAGAACGCUGAAGGAGGAGCUUGCUUCUCUGGAUGAGUUGCGAACGGGUGAGUAACGCGUAGGUAACCUGCCUGGUAGCGGGGGAUAACUAUUGGAAACGAUAGCUAAUACCGCAUAAGAGUAGAUGUUGCAUGACAUUUGCUUAAAAGGUGCAAUUGCAUCACUACCAGAUGGACCUGCGUUGUAUUAGCUAGUUGGUGGGGUAACGGCUUACCAAGGCGACGAUACAUAGCCGACCUGAGAGGGUGAUCGGCCACACUGGGACUGAGACACGGCCCAGACUCCUACGGGAGGCAGCAGUAGGGAAUCUUCGGCAAUGGACGGAAGUCUGACCGAGCAACGCCGCGUGAGUGAAGAAGGUUUUCGGAUCGUAAAGCUCUGUUGUAAGAGAAGAACGAGUGUGAGAGUGGAAAGUUCACACUGUGACGGUAUCUUACCAGAAAGGGACGGCUAACUACGUG
rnacentral:rRNA from 1 species